UUUUCCUGGUUUUGUUGUGUCUCUGCAAACGGUCCAAGGAUGCAUGUUGUAACAGGUUGAAUCAGAUUCUGAACAUCGACCGAGUCUCUGCUACACAACAGUCAGUCAACGAGAAUGAAACUCAGGCUUAUUCCUCUCUCCUUCAUGGUGAUGCUGCUGUCUACGAAUCAGUCAGAGGUUGUGGAAACACUGGAAGUGACGCACCAGCAGAUGAAUACAUCAACGUCACAUCUCAUCUUAACCUUAAAGGUCAUGAUAAGAACAG